rnacentral:rRNA from 1 species
GGCGGCAGGCCUAACACAUGCAAGUCGAGCGGUAGAGAGAAGCUUGCUUCUCUUGAGAGCGGCGGACGGGUGAGUAAUGCCUAGGAAUCUGCCUGGUAGUGGGGGAUAACGUUCGGAAACGGACGCUAAUACCGCAUACGUCCUACGGGAGAAAGCAGGGGACCUUCGGGCCUUGCGCUAUCAGAUGAGCCUAGGUCGGAUUAGCUAGUUGGUGGGGUAAUGGCUCACCAAGGCGACGAUCCGUAACUGGUCUGAGAGGAUGAUCAGUCACACUGGAACUGAGACACGGUCCAGACUCCUACGGGAGGCAGCAGUGGGGGAUAUUGGACAAUGGGCGAAAGCCUGAUCCAGCCAUGCCGCGUGUGUGAAGAAGGUCUUCGGAUUGUAAAGCACUUUAAGUUGGGAGGAAGGGCAGUAAAUUAAUACUUUGCUGUUUUGACGUUACCGACAGAAUAAGCACCGGCUAACUCUGUGCCAGCAGCCGCGGUAAUACAGAGGGUGCAAGCGUUAAUCGGAAUUACUGGGCAUAAAGCGCGCGUAGGUGGUUCGUUAAGUUGGAUGUGAAAUCCCCGGGCUCAACCUGGGAACUGCAUUCAAAACUGACGAGCUAGAGUAUGGUAGAGGGUGGUGGAAUUUCCUGUGUAGCGGUGAAAUGCGUAGAUAUAGGAAGGAACACCAGUGGCGAAGGCGACCACCUGGACUGAUACUGACACUGAGGUGCGAAAGCGUGGGGAGCAAAC